rnacentral:rRNA from 1 species
AUUGAACGCUGGCGGCAGGCCUAACACAUGCAAGUCGAACGAGUGGCGGACGGGUGAGUAAUGCCUGGGAAACUGCCCGAUGGAGGGGGAUAACUACUGGAAACGGUAUCUAAUACCGCAUACCAUCGGAGGAGCCCAGAAUGGAUUAGCUAGUAGGGGGGGGAACGGCUCACCUAGGCGACGAUCCCUAGCUGGUCUGAGAGGAUGACCAGCCACAUUGGAACUGAGACACGGUCCAGACUCCUACGGGAGGCAGCAGUGGGGAAUAUUGCACAAUGGGCGCAAGCCUGAUGCAGCCAUGCCGCGUGUAUGAAGAGGGCCUUCGGGUUGUAAAGUACUGUCAGCGAGGACGAGGUAAUCGCAGAAGAAGCACCGGCUAACUCACUGCCAGGCGCCGCGGUAAUAC